GCGAGGGUCUGUACGACCUAGCGGCAGACGGGUGAGUAAUACGUAGACAAUCUGCCCUUGAAUGGAAGAUAACCCGGCGAAAGUCGGGCUAAUAUUCCAUAUAAUCCCGAGGAGGCAUCUCCCUGGGAUGAAAGCAGCAAUGCGUUCAAGGAGGAGUCUGCGGCCUAUCAGCUAGUUGGCGGGGUAACGGCCCACCAAGGCUUUGACGGGUAGCCGAUCUAAAAGGAUGACCGGCCACAAGGGCACUGAGACACGGGCCCUACUCCUACGGGAGGCAGCAGUGGGGAAUUUUGGACAAUGGGGGAAACCCUGAUCCAGCGACGCCGCGUGGAGGACGAAGGUCUUCGGAUUGUAAACUCCUUUUGCAGGGGACGAAAAAAAUGACGGUACCCUGCGAAUAAGCCACGGCUAACUACGUGCCCGCAG
rnacentral:rRNA from 1 species